CUUAGCCUGAACCUUGUGUAAACACUCUCUAUUAGCUGGAGUUGGUUGCAAUUCAAAUUGAACUUCAUGUACCUUAAUCACAUCCUCCAAGGUUUCAAUUUCUCUAAAAAUAUUGCCAAAAGUCUGCUUACUCCACAAAGUUAAACCAGCUUAACUUUCUUCAUUUUAUGGUGAAACAAAGUAAAAGGGUUAGCCAUAAAAUCCACAGACCAUAAGGCUCUUACAGUUUCUACAAAAGAUUCUUCUUUAACCCAAAAAUUCAGAAAUUUGAAAGGUUUCUGAAUUGGUUCCACAUUUCCUGAAUAUGUAAUCAACAGAGGAGCAUGAUCAGACCCUGUUCUGAUUAGAUGAUUAAUAUCAAUUACAGAAAACCUAUCCAGUAGUGCCUGAUUUCCCAAACAUCUGUCCAGUCUUUUGAAAAUGCAUUCAUCACCACUUUGCCCAUUCCAUCAUGUAUAAUUGCUUCCUUUAAAACCUAAAUCCAUCACAUCACAAUUUUGAAUACAAGCUCUGAAAUCUUGAAUUUCAUUAAUUGUAACUGGUAAACCCCCUAACUUCUCUGAAUCAAAAACAAUAGUAUUGAAAUCACCUCCUAUCAGCCAAGGGAUCUGAAAACUAUUAGAUAAGUCUUCCAGUGUUUCCCAUAAUUCCAUUCUCUCCCUUUGAGUACACUUUGCAUACACCAGAGUAAUAACCAUUUCUUCUUGAGUUUCCAUGACUUUCAACUUGAUACUCAACUGUUGUCCAUGAUCUGCCACCACUUGAAACUCAAACAUGUCAUCAAUGAAAGCCCAAAUUUUGCCUGAACUAUUCACUACAGCAUGCUGAAUUCCAAUCCUUCUUCUAUAUGCCUCUAUCUUGUCUGCUUCUUGAAAAGGUUCCAUUAAUCCCACAAAACCAAAAUGAUAUUUGUUCUGUAUUUGAAUGAGUCUUGUAAAGUCCUCCAUAGUAUUGACAGAUCUAAUGUUCCAAAUAAGAGCAUUCAUAAUGAAACAUUAGAUUUAUUCUGAUGUCUUCUAGUUUGAACCCCACUUCCUGGGGGUAAGCUUUGAUCCUUUGUAUGUUUUUUCUUUCCCCUUCCCAAGCUUUUCUCUAAAAGCUUUGGUGAGAAAUCUCCAUCCCUAACUGCUGCCUUAAGACUUUGAUCCAAAUUAUGAGCAUCCAAAUCCUUUCCUCCUGAUAUCUUUAUCCCCUUCUCAUCAAAUCCUCUUUAUUCUGUUUCUUUUUACCACUAUUCUGCAUGGUUACCCCCUGUUCUUUACUCUGCACCUCUUGCUCAUGUGCUUGUUGUAACUUAUCUUGUUCCUGUGAUUGAUUUUAUCCCUUUGAUCUUGUAUCCACCUCUGCAUCUGUCUCACCAUCUUUAGCAUAUCUCUGAAAUUGUUCAUUCUCUUCUUCAACAUUAAGAACCUUAUCGCUAUUGUUUUGUAUCUCAUCUACUUCCCCAUGUGCUUUGCUACUGUCAUCAUCCUUCAAAUACAAGACUUCAUUGACCUUGCUUCCACCACUAUCUUUUGAUUUGGUAGAUGAUUCCAUUUUUCCUGCACUUGCACUUGUUUCAUAUCUGGUGUUUUUGUUUUGAUUGGACUUCUGAUUUGCAUAACUUCUUUUUGUUGAAUCACUGCCUGCCUCUUUAUUGAUUGUUUCACCGACCUCUCCUAUUCUGCCUCUUGUGUCUUGUGACUGAAUAUCCUCUCUGUUUUUUUUUUGCCAGAACUAACUUGUGUUUUUUCAGGACUGCAGUCAUCUUUGUCUUCUACAACAAAGAAUUUCAGGAUUCCCUUCAUCAACUUGAUCUGGCUCUUGUUCCUCCAAUACAUCAAAGAGAUUAUGAGUUUCAACUAUAUCCUCUCCUCUGGGUCUGGUUCUAUUAGCAGUGGCUAGAUCAACAACCAAAGGCUUCCCAACUGCUAAUGCUAAAGAGAAUACAACAUCGUUUGCAAAGAAAUUAGGGGGCAGUUCCGGGAAACUUAUCCAUCCAAUAGCUAUGGAUGUUUCCUCAGAUGGCUUGAACCAUGAAUUCCAAAUCAAAAGCCUCAUGUGACAAUAUCUUGAUCGUACCUGAAUAUAAUAUGCCGAACUAGAUAAAAGUUUGACAUAAUCUUCCAAUAGACUCAUUCUGAUUAAAACAUGCCUAUCUUCAAUAAGGCCAAUUUCACAAGGACCUUUUAUGAAACAUUGCUCCGGAAUGGCUGUCCUUAGUUCCUUGAUGUCUAUUACGUCAUAAGAAAACUUCCCCAAUACUUCAUAUUGUAAAUUUUCUUGUAUAAUCAAUUUCUUAACUUCA